rnacentral:rRNA from 1 species
CCUACGGGUGGCAGCAGUGGGGAAUAUUGCACAAUGGGCGAAAGCCUGAUGCAGCAACGCCGCGUGAGCGAUGAAGGCCUUCGGGUCGUAAAGCUCUGUUCUCAAGGAAGAUAAUGACGGUAGUUGAGGAGGAAUCCCCGGCUAACUACUUGCCAGCAGCCGCGGUAAUACGUAGGGGGCUAGCGUUAUUCGGAAUUACUGGGGGUAAGGGGGGCGGAGGUGGUUUCUUAAGUCGGAGGUAAAAGGCUACGGCUCAACCGUAGUAAGCCUUUGAAACUGGGGAACUUGAGUGCAGGAGAGGAGAGUGGAAUUCCUAGUGUAGCGGUGAAAUGCGUAGAUAUUAGGAGGAACACCAGUUGCGAAGGCGGAUCUCUGGACUGUAACUGACACUGAGGCACGAAAGCGUGGGGAGCAAACAGGAUUAGAUACCCUAGUAGUC